UACGUAGGGUGCAAGCGUUGUCCGGAAUUAUUGGGCGUAAAGAGCUCGUAGGCGGUUUGUUGCGUCGGCUGUGAAAUCCCGAGGCUCAACCUCGGGUCUGCAGUCGAUACGAGCAAACUAGAGUGUUGCAGGGGAGACUGGAAUUCCUGGUGUAGCGGUGAAAUGCGCAGAUAUCAGGAGGAACACCGGUGGCGAAGGCAGGUCUCUGGGCAAACAACUGACGCUGGAGGAGCGAAAGCGUGGGGAGCGAACAGG
rnacentral:rRNA from 1 species